AUACGGAGGGUCCGAGCGUUAUCCGGAUUUAUUGGGUUUAAAGGGUGCGUAGGCGGUUUUAUAAGUCAGCGGUGAAAUUUUCCGGCUCAACCGGGAUACUGCCGUUGAUACUGUAAGGCUAGGAUAUGGUUGCUGUGGGUGGAAUGUGUGGUGUAGCGGUGAAAUGCUUAGAGAUCACACAGAAUAUCGAUUGCGAAGGCAGCUUACUAAGCUACAACUGACACUGAAGCACGAAAGCGUGGGGAUC
rnacentral:rRNA from 1 species